AUUGAACGCUGGCGGCAGGCUUAACACAUGCAAGUCGAGCGAGUGGCGGACGGGUGAGUAAUGUCUGGGAAACUGCCUGAUGGAGGGGGAUAACUACUGGAAACGGUAGCUAAUACCGCAUACCCUCAGAUGUGCCCAGAUGGGAUUAGCUAGUGGGUGGGGUAAUGGCUCACCUAGGCGACGAUCCCUAGCUGGUCUGAGAGGAUGACCAGCCACACUGGAACUGAGACACGGUCCAGACUCCUACGGGAGGCAGCAGUGGGGAAUAUUGCACAAGGGGCGCAAGCCUGAUGCAGCCAUGCCGCGUGUGUGAAGAAGGCCUUCGGGUUGUAAAGCACUUUCAGCGGGGAGGCGUUACUCGCAGAAGAAGCACCGGCUAACUCCGUGCCAGCAGCCGCGGUAAUUC
rnacentral:rRNA from 1 species